UCUCCCUCCCGUUUUUUCUCUACUCUCUCUUUUCUGUGCAAACCCUAACACCGCCGUGACUGCCCCCUUUCUCCACCUUAUUUACGACCACCACCUCCAAUGAAAAAAUCGAAGCCAUUUUCGUACUCCUCAUCCCUCCUCUUUCAAUUCAAUCAUGGUCGAAACCGGACGUGGCUCUUCAUCUUCCAAACGCUCAUCUUCCAUACUCAUUGUAACUCAAUCCACAUAGAUCAAUAAAUCAACGAGUUUACAAAAAUCAACAUCAAACUCGUGUCUAUUGAUGAUUCAUCAUUGCCGUCGUCAUUGCCGUAGUAGGAGAAAGUGACUUUUUUCUUACAAAGAUUUAGUUUUUCCUCAUUCAACAUCAAACUCAAGAUUAUGAUUCUUCAUCAUCGUCGUCAUCACCAUCGGAGGAGAGAGUCGAUGUUGUAAAUCCAGAUCUCUUUGAAUCUUUAGAAGAAGCUGGGCUAAAAUUUGUCGGCAAGAAUGAAAGUGGCAAACGAAUGGAGUUCAGCAUAAAGCUGGAGAUGUCACAAGAUUUAUAUAUCUUUACUCAUUUGGUAGGGUGGGAAACAAAGCAACAAAAUGUUCAGUGGAUGAGAAUUCCAAAUCAAAAUCUUUAGCCCAACAGGUCUAUGACACUUGGUAUUUGUUGUAGAAUAAUUGCACUUGUGGAGAUAAAACAUUUUAAUUGGUACCAGCAUACUAUAUGAAUAGCUCAGACAUUUUAAGCUAGCCCUGAAUUUAUUUAGUCUUGAAUUUAUAUGAGAUUAGCUUCUGAUAAAAUCUUGUCCACUUUGUAAUAUAGUUAUUCACAAUGAAUCUAUAAAAUUAUAUCUAUGGCUAGAGAAAUCAUUGUUGAUAGUGGUUUUGUGGAUCUGAUUCCACAUUUUUUGACAUAAAUUACAUAGCAUAUACUUUCAUUAUGGUGCCAUUUUUCUUGGCAGGGCACUGAGUUCCUGUAAUGGUUAAUUUUUUUCUAAAUAUAUGUUGCAUUUGACUUAAAUUUAUAUAUGUGCUGAUGGACAGGAACUGAAGGUUCUAUGGAACCAAAGUGCCCACAAAAUCUGAAUCUGCGGGAAGUUAUACAGAAACUAUGCAAGAUUAAAUGGCUGAAUUGAAAAAUUCACUCAAUGCUCAGCUGGGGAUUUCUUCUCAUUUACAAUUGCAGGUUGAAGCUGCAAACAGGGACCUAUUUGACUCAGAGAGAGAGAGAGAGAGAGAGAGAGAGAGAGAGAGAGAGAGAGAGAGAGAUCCAACAACUAAAGAAAGCAAUUGCAGAUCACUGUAUUGGAUAUCCCUUGAUUUGAAAUCCUUGAUUUGUAGAUUGAAAUCCUUGGUUUGAAAUCCCUUUUCCAUGGUACUGCAUGUUCCUUUUAGCUGGAUAUUUUUAGUUUAUAUUGUUUUCAUCCUAUUUCUAUUUGAUUAAUUUUCAGGCCAUCCACACAUAAUGUCGACUCAGUGUCAUCUUCAAUGAAGAAGAUACCAUAAAAGAUGUUUCUUCCAAGUGGUUUAUUGAUUUGCUUGAAGCUUUAGAAGCUUUUGCCAAAGAUAACAAACAAAUCCCCCAUGGGAAAUGAACUUGAAAGUGGAGCUGUUACAAAAAUGGAGAUGUACUCCUUUUUGAAUUUUUUUUUAUUAUUUAAAAACACCAAGUUUCUAUAUGUGUACUCUUUGAUGUAUUUUACUAACCAAAAU